rnacentral:rRNA from 1 species
UCCGGUUGAUCCUGCCAGAGGUUACUGCUAUCGAGGUUCGACUAAGCCAUGCGAGUCGAAUGUAGCAAUACAUGGCGUACUGCUCAGUAACACGUGGACAACCUGCCCUUAGGUUGGGUAUAAACCCGGGAAACUGGGUAUAAUCCCCUAUAAGUCUCGGCUGCUGGAAUGCACCGAGAUUAAAAGCUCCGGCGCCUAAGGAUGGGUCUGCGGCCUAUCAGGUAGUAGUGGGUGUAGCGUACCUACUAGCCUACGACGGGUACGGGUUGUGAGAGCAAGAGCCCGGAGAUGGAUUCUGAGACACGAAUCCAGGCCCUACGGGGUGCAGCAGGCGCGAAAACUUUACAAUGCUGGCAACAGCGAUAAGGGAACCUCGAGUGCCAGGUUACAAAUCUGGCUGUCGAGAUGCCUAAAAAAGCAUUUCAUAGCAAGGGCCGGGCAAGACCGGUGCCAGCCGCCGCGGUAACACCGGCGGCUCGAGUGGUAACCGUUAUUAUUGGGUCUAAAGGGUCUGUAGCCGGCCGGAUAAGUCUCUUGAGAAAUCUGGCAGCUUAACUGUCAGGCUUUCAGGAGAUACUGUCUGGCUCGAGGCCGGGAGAGGUGAGAGGUACUUCAGGGGUAGGGGUGAAAUCUUGUAAUCCUUGAAGGACCACCAGUGGCGAAGGCGUCUCACCAGAACGGACCUGACGGCAAGGGACGAAAGCUAGGGGCACGAACCGGAUUAGAUACCCGGGUAGUCCUAGCCGUAAACGAUACUCGCUAGGUGUCGGCCACGGUGCGACCGUUGUCGGUGCCGUAGGGAAGCCGUGAAGCGAGCCACCUGGGAAGUACGGCCGCAAGGCUGAAACUUAAAGGAAUUGGCGGGGGAGCACCACAACGGGUGGAGCUUGCGGUUUAAUUGGAUUCAACGCCGGAAAUCUUACCGGGACCGACAGCAAUAUGAAGGCCAGGCUGAAGACUUUGCCGGAUUAGCUGAGAGGUGGUGCAUGGCCGUCGUCAGUUCGUACUGUGAAGCAUCCUGUUAAGUCAGGUAACGAGCGAGACCCA